GUACAAGGACCUAAAAAAAGAACACACCACAAAAUGGUCCAAUUAUACCCUGUUACCUGUAUCAGUAAUUGACAAUUGCAGAGACAUAAAGGAACUGGACAGAUGUGGGUAGCAAUUAAGGAAUGGACUGCUCAGGGUCAAGACUGAAAUUUUUCUGAGUGAGAACCACCCUCAACCACUAUUAUUGAAUACCGAGUAACUUUGGAAAUUAGCUUUUGCCGCAGAAUUGGUAAUAUUUAUUAAUGAAUUCAACCCAAAAUUACAAGGCAAACACUACUUUUACACGAGAAACAUGUAAUAUGGUAAGGCUAAUUUGAGGACAACUAACAUUAUUUGGAUUACAG
rnacentral:lncRNA from 1 species